rnacentral:lncRNA from 1 species
GAGUUGUCUACCAGAGAUUGAGAGAGCAUGGGAGAAGUUGAGAGGGAGGAGGAAAGUGCACGCCAUCCUGCGCGCAGCCUCGCCUUAGGGAAAGCAUGUGUGAGAAGUGGUGGUAGGCGGUUGCUAGCCUUGGAAACAAACAAACAGCCAACCAAAAGGCUUCGGAAGGAAGGAGUGUCUAAUUAAUCAGCCCCGAGGGACAGGUCCGCACUGCCUGACUGUGCUCCUCAGCCUGGUUUCAGGCCACCGAGUCCAAGUUUCUGCCACAGUUCCAGGGCCGAGGCUGUUUCCAAAGAGCCCUGUAAUUGUUUUCCACCUGUGUCUCACCCAAACACCAAGGCUGGCGCAGGUGGACACCUUCCCACUUUUCUCCCUCCAGGCUGGGCCCCAGAAAUCAGUAGAGGAGGGAGGAAUCAGUCAGCGUGGCCAUGCCUGGGAGGAGAGGCCCGUGUGGGUCUGUGGGGCUAAGAGGCAAAGGCGGGUGGCGGAUGUGGGCCAGCGGGAGCCUGGAGGGGUUGACACCGCCUGCUCCACCGCAAGCCCCUGGAGGAAGAGCCCCGCUGUGCCCGAGAGCGAGCGCGGGCAGGUGUAACUACCCGGGGC